GACGAACGCCGUCGGCGUGCUUAACACAUGCAAGUCGAACGGAAAGGCCCUGCUUUUGUGGGGUGCUCGAGUGGCGAACGGGUGAGUAACACGUGAGUAACCAGCCCUUGACUUUGGGAUAACUUCAGGAAACUGGGGCUAAUACCGGAUAGGAGCUCCUGCUGCAUGGUGGGGGUUGGAAAGUUUCGGCGGUUGGGGAUGGACUCGCGGCUUAUCAGCUUGUUGGUGGGGUAGUGGCUUACCAAGGCUUUGACGGGUAGCCGGCCUGAGAGGGUGACCGGCCACAUUGGGACUGAGAUACGGCCCAGACUCCUACGGGAGGCAGCAGUGGGGAAUAUUGCACAAUGGGCGGAAGCCUGAUGCAGCAACGCCGCGUGCGGGAUGACGGCCUUCGGGUUGUAAACCGCUUUCGCCUGUGACGAAGCGUGAGUGACGGUAAUGGGUAAAGAAGCACCGGCUAACUACGUGCCAGCAGCCGCGGUGAUACGUAGGGUGCGAGCGUUGUCCGGAUUUAUUGGGCGUAAAGGGCUCGUAGGUGGUUGAUCGCGUCGGAAGUGUAAUCUUGGGGCUUAACCCUGAGCGUGCUUUCGAUACGGGUUGACUUGAGGAAGGUAGGGGAGAAUGGAAUUCCUGGUGGAGCGGUGGAAUGCGCAGAUAUCAGGAGGAACACCAGUGGCGAAGGCGGUUCUCUGGGCCUUUCCUGACGCUGAGGAGCGAAAGCGUGGGGAGCGAACAGGCUUAGAUACCCUGGUAGUCCACGCUGUAAACGGUGGGUACUAGGUGUGGGGUCCGUUCCACGGGUUCCGUGCCGUAGCUAACGCUUUAAGUACCCCGCCUGGGGAGUACGGCCGCAAGGCUAAAACUCAAAGGAAUUGACGGGGCCCCGCACAAGCGGCGGAGCAUGCGGAUUAAUUCGAUGCAACGCGUAGAACCUUACCUGGGUUUGACAUGGAUCGGGAGUGCUCAGAGAUGGGUGUGCCUCUUUUGGGGUCGGUUCACAGGUGGUGCAUGGCUGUCGUCAGCUCGUGUCGUGAGAUGUUGGGUUAAGUCCCGCAACGAGCGCAACCCUUGUUCACUGUUGCCAGCACGUUAUGGUGGGGACUCAGUGGAGACCGCCGGGGUCAACUCGGAGGAAGGUGGGGAUGACGUCAAGUCAUCAUGCCCCUUAUGUCCAGGGCUUCACGCAUGCUACAAUGGCUGGUACAGAGAGUGGCGAGCCUGUGAGGGUGAGCGAAUCUCGGAAAGCCGGUCUCAGUUCGGAUUGGGGUCUGCAACUCGACCUCAUGAAGUCGGAGUCGCUAGUAAUCGCAGAUCAGCAACGCUGCGGUGAAUACGUUCCCGGGGCU
rnacentral:rRNA from 1 species